GUGGGGAAUUUUGCGCAAUGGGGGAAACCCUGACGCAGCAACGCCGCGUGGAGGAUGAAAUCCCUUGGGAUGUAAACUCCUUUCGAUAGGGAAGAUAAUGACGGUACCUAUAGAAGAAGCCCCGGCUAACUUCGUGCCAGCAGCCGCGGUAAUACGAGGGGGGCAAGCGUUGUUCGGAAUUAUUGGGCGUAAAGGGUGCGUAGGCGGUUUGACAAGUCUUAUGUGAAAUCUCUGGGCUCAACCCAGAGUCUGCAUGGGAAACUGUCGGGCUUGAGUAUGGGAGAGGUGAGUGGAAUUUCCGGUGUAGCGGUGAAAUGCGUAGAUAUCGGAAGGAACACCUGUGGCGAAAGCGGCUCACUGGACCAUAACUGACGCUGAUGCACGAAAGCUAGGGGAGCAAACAGG
rnacentral:rRNA from 1 species